GACGGGGGGAGCAAGCGUUGUUCGGAUUUACUGGGCGUAAAGGGCGCGUAGGCGGCCACCGCAAGUCGACUGUGAAAUCUCCGGGCUUAACCCGGAAAGGUCAGCCGAUACUGCGGGGCUAGAGUGCAGAAGGGGCAACUGGAAUUCUCGGUGUAGCGGUGAAAUGCGUAGAUAUCGAGAGGAACACCUGCGGCGAAGGCGGGUUGCUGGGCUGACACUGACGCUGAGGCGCGAAAGCUAGGGGAGCGAACGGG
rnacentral:rRNA from 1 species